UACGUAGGGGGCGAGCGUUGUCCGGAAUUACUGGGCGUAAAGGGCGUGUAGGCGGCCUGUUAAGUCAGGGGUGAAAGACCGGGGCUCAACCCCGGGGGUGCCUCUGAAACUGGCGGGCUUGAGUGCUCUAGAGGGCAGUGGAAUUCCCGGUGUAGCAGUGAAAUGCGUAGAGAUCGGGAGGAACACCAGUGGCGAAGGCGGCUGCCUGGGGAGUCACUGACGCUGAGGCGCGAAAGCUAGGGGAGCAAACAGG
rnacentral:rRNA from 2 species